rnacentral:rRNA from 1 species
AACGAACGCUGGCGGCAGGCCUAACACAUGCAAGUCGAGCGAAGCCUUCGGGCUUAGCGGCGGACGGGUGAGUAACGCGUGGGAACGUGCCCUUUGCUACGGAAUAGCCCCGGGAAACUGGGAGUAAUACCGUAUGUGCCCUUCGGGGGAAAGAUUUAUCGGCAAAGGAUCGGCCCGCGUUGGAUUAGGUAGUUGGUGGGGUAAUGGCCUACCAAGCCGACGAUCCAUAGCUGGUUUGAGAGGAUGAUAAGCCACACUGGGACUGAGACACGGCCCAGACUCUUACGGGAGGCAGCAGUGGGGAAUCUUAGACAAUGGGGGAAACCCUGAUCUAGCCAUGCCGCGUGAUCGAUGAAGGCCUUAGGGUUGUAAAGAUCUUUCAGUGGGGAAGAUAAUGACUGUACCCACAGAAGAAGCCCCGGCUAACUCCGUGCCAGCCGCCGCGGUAACAC